rnacentral:rRNA from 1 species
CCCUCAGAUGUCCUGGGCCGCACGCGCGCUACACUGAUGCAUGCAACGAGUUUAUAACCUUGGCCUGAAAGGUCUGGGUAAUCUUUUGAACGUGCAUCGUGAUAGGGAUAGAUUAUUGCAAUUGUUAAUCUUGAACGAGGAAUUCCUAGUAAACGCGAGUCAUCAGCUCGCAUUGAUUACGUCCCUGCCCUUUGUACACACCGCCCGUCGCACCUACCGAUUGAAUGGUUCGGUGAAGAUCUCGGACUUCGAUAUUUAUUCUUUAUUGAGUUUAUAUUGUGGGAAGUUAUCUAAACCUCAUCAUUUAGAGGAAGGUGAAGUCGUAACA